CGGCAACAGCUCAAAUUUGAAACCUGGCUCACGCCCGGAUUGUAAUUUGUAGAGGAUGCUUCUGGGCAGCGGCCGGUCUAAGUUCCUUGGAACAGGACGUCACAGAGGGUGAGAAUCCCGUACG
rnacentral:rRNA from 1 species